rnacentral:tRNA from 2 species
GGGUAGGUACCAGAGUGGCCAAAUGGGGCGGACUGUAAAUCCGCUGGCUUACGCCUACGGGGGUUCGAAUCCCUCCCUGCCCACCA